rnacentral:rRNA from 1 species
GAUGAACGCUGGCGGCGUGCCUAAUACAUGCCAGUCGAGCGAACAGACGAGGAGCUUGCUCCUUUGACGUUAGCGGCGGACGGGUGAGUAACACGUGGAUAACCUACCUAUAAGACUGGGAUAACUUCGGGAAACCGGAGCUAAUACCGGAUAACAUGUUGAACCGCAUGGUUCAACAGUGAAAGACGGUCUUGCUGUCACUUAUAGAUGGAUCCGCGCCGCAUUAGCUAGUUGGUAAGGUAACGGCUUACCAAGGCAACGAUGCGUAGCCGACCUGAGAGGGCGAUCGGCCACACUGGAACUGAGACACGGUCCAGACUCCUACGGGAGGCAGCAGUAGGGAAGCUUCCGCAAUGGGCGAAAGCCUGACGGAGCAACGCCGCGUGAGUGAAGAAGGUCUUCGGAUCGUAAAACUCUGUUAUUAGGGAAGAACAAAUGUGUAAGUAACUAUGCACGUCUUGACGGUACCUAAUCAGAAAGCCACGGCUAACUACGUG